rnacentral:misc_RNA from 1 species
AUGGAGUCUUAAAUCUGUCCAGUACCAGUAGAAAUACUUUGACAAAGAGACCAUUUUUCCAACCGGGGAAUUCAGUUGUUUCUACACACUCUAGAAGAUCUGUUAUAAGGAUUGGAUUUAACAAGGUUCCAUUAAGCCUGAAUUCGGAAACAGACUUGAAUAAGUUUCUUCAAAAUGAGCUGAAAGUGUGGCAGAACAAACAUUAUUGAUUAAAAACUGGUGAAAUGUUGAUACAUAUUCUUAUCAUCUCUCUACCUGUCAUCUCUUUACAAGGACAUCAGUAUGAGGCUGAACCCAGAUUUAUAAACAGUGUAAAAAACAUGACAGUUUCCGUUGGACGAGAAGCCAUUCUUUCCUGCUCAGUAGUAAAUCUACAGGACUACAAGGUUGGAUGGAUCAAAGCAAGUGACCAGACAAUUCUUAGCCUUCACAAAAGAGUCAUCACAAACAACAAGAGAAUACAUGUUACACAUGAUGAGCAUAAUACCUGGAAUCUCCAUAUCAAGGAUGUAGUGGUUGAAGAUAGAGACUGCUAUAUGUGUCAGAUUAACACUGCAAUUAUGAAGAAACAAGUUGGCUGUGUAGAUGUACUCGUUCCUCCUGAUAUUGACGUAAGAACUACAUCUAGUGAUAUCUCAGUAUUGGAAGGUUCAAAUAUAACACUGACGUGUGUGGCUCAUGGUCUCCCGUCACCCAAGGUUACAUGGAGAAGGGAGGAUAAGACUAGUUUUAAGCUUCUCUCUCACAAUAUAGUUCAAACAGUUACUAAAUUUGUAGGUGGAACUCUGCCGUUACUUGAUGUACGACGGCAACACAUGGGAUCCUUCCUCUGUAUUGCAAACAACAAUGUUCCUCCUGCAGUCAGCAAACGAAUCAUGGUUCAUGUCAACUUUUCUCCAUCAGUUGUUGUUCAACCUCAACUCAUUGGUAUUCCUGUAGGAGAGAGAUUAGUUUUAAACUGUAGCGUGGAGGCUUAUCCUGCUCCUAUAACCUACUGGCAGAAGGAAAGGGGUUUGUCCAACAACAAGGAUAGGAGCAACAAGGAUAAGGGAAAUUCUUCGGGAAAAAUAAUGCUAAUAUCAAAAUCCAGUACUGAGUACCACACUGAAUCUCACAGUUUGGGAUACACUCAUACAACAUCCUUGGUAAUACCCAGUUUUAGUCUGGAGUUCUCUGGAGUAUAUGAGUGCAUAUCCUCAAACUCCCUUGGAUCUCAAGUGGCUGGAGCCCGUGUAUACGAUAUUCCAGGAGCAGCAAGUAAACCGGAAACAAGUACAAAGACAACGUUUCGGAUCAAUAUCCACACUCUUAAGGGACACCCAAAUAAAAUUGGAUGAUGAGGAUAAAAUCUUUCACUCAACUAAAAAAACAUGGAUACAAAGAGUAGGGGUUACUUCACAGACGGAGACCACGACGUUUAAAGAU